AGUGUGUGUGAGGUGGGAGGGUCUUUCUCUCUACCGUCUUAAAGUCUCUCUCUCUCUGGUCUGAUCUCAGCAUUAUUCUUCAGCUCUGCUCAUCUUCACACAUCGACACCAAAUCACAAGAUGAUCACAAUCCUGUGUGCUUUCUUCACUCUUCUGAGCUGUGUCAGUGGAGUGACUGUAGUGACUCAGAGUCCAUUAAUCUCAGUCAAUGAAGGACAAACAGCUCAACUGGACUGUAAUCUGGGGACAGUAACUGAUUAUUCUGCUCAAUGGUACAAACAGACUCCAGGAGGAGCUCCUCAAUAUGUGUUAGUGUUUUAUCAUGGCUGGGGCUCACCUUCAUAUGGAUCUGGUUUCUCUGCUCCUAAAUUCACAUCAACACAUUCAUCUCAAUCAGAUUAUCGUCUGAUCAUCAGUAAUGUGGAUGUGUCUGAUUCUGCGGUGUAUUACUGUCAGACAUGGGACGACUCUGCUAAAGACAAUGUAUCACAGUGAUUGACAGCAGGACAAAAACCUCCUCACUGAUCACAUUCACUUCUGCUUCUAGACAUCAGAUAUAAAUUUUCUUAUAUAUAUUUAUCAAAAUCUCCACACAAUGACCAUAUAAAGUAGUAGUGAUACUGUAUAUGUGCUAUAUUACAAUUAUAGCUAUAUGGUAUGUUAUGUAUGUUGACUGUGGAGAGUCCUGCUGUAGUCAAUCAAAGUCAAUCUCUGAACUUGAACACAUGAUCUACUGAUGACAGACACUAAAGGAAACCUUCCUUACAAACCUUUCUGUCUUCAUAAGAAUACGUUUAUCAGAAUGUCCAAGCUGCUCUUUUAUUUUUAAACAAAGCAUAACAUGAUCAGUGAUCUACAAACCGGACAAAAAAGCACCAGAAAAAGCCCAACUUUAAUUUCAGAGUUUCCGUCAUUGUCAGUCAUCAACCAUAUAAGUGAUUGUCAACUAACUAACUUUGCUUUUGUCUUCAAAACAGAUUAUUUUGCAAAUGGAAAGCUCAUCUGCAAAUAAACAAUAAUAACGGAUGAAUGACAUCAUCUGGUCAAAAAGAUGACAAACCAGCAGUUUAUCUUGUAACUCCAAGCUUGCUGGAAAAACACGAAACCUGCUUGAUUAUGAUGAUAUUUCUUACCCUCCUGACACUUAAUCGGCGUACGAGCAGCACUGAAGGGAGUCUGAGUUCAGUGUCUUGUGUCUCUGAAACCUCGGGAGGUUUUUGUACGAGUGAAGAUGUGAAAUGCAUCUCUGUGGUAUUCGGCCAAGGAACAAAACUCAAUGUGAUCGGUAAGUUUUACUCUCGAUUACUGUCCAGGCACCUUAUUUAUUUUUAUUUGUUCUACGUAUUAUUAUUGGACAAUAAAUUGCCAUAUUUUUUCAUAUUCACAUAUAUUCUCAAUUUAAUUAAACUGAAUCCUUAAAAUAACAUUACGUGUAGAAAUCCUUCUGACGUGUGCCUAGACGUUUUAAAAGGCUAAUUAUUUACUCAG